AGAGUUUGAUCCUGGCUCAGAAGGAGCGCUAGUUAUAUGCUUAACACAUGCAAGUCGAACGUUGUUUUUAGGGAGCUGGGAAGAAGGAAAAGAUGCUCCUAGAUAAAGGUAGCUUGUCUUGCCCAGGAGGUGAGAAGAGUUGAGAACAAAGUGGCAAACGGGUGCAUAACGCAUAGAAAUCUACCGAACAGUUUAGGCCAAAUCCUGAAGAAAGCUGAAAAGCACUAUUUGAUGAGCCUGCGUAGUAUUAGGUAGUUAGUUAGGUAAAGGCUGACCAAGACAAUGAAGCUUAGCUGGUCUUUUUGGAUAAUCAGCUAUACUGGGACUAAGACACGACCCAAACUCCCACGGGGGGCAGCAGUGGGGAAUCUUGGAUAAUGGGCAAAAGCUCGAUCCAGCAAUAUCGCGUGAGUGAAGAAGGGUAAUGCCGCUUGUAAAGCUCUUUUGUCGAGUGCGCGAUCAUGAUAGGUAUCGAGGAAGAAGCCCCAGCUAAAUUCGUGCUAGCAGCCGCGGUAAGAUGGGGGGCAAGUGUUCUUCGGAAUGACUGGGUGUAAAGGGCACGUAGGCAGUGAAUCAGGUUGAAAGUAAAAGCCUCCAAAAACUAUUGGAAUGCUCUCGAAACCAAUUCUCUUGAGUGAGACAGAGAAGAGUCGAAUUUCAUGUGUAGGGGUGAAAUUUGGAGAUCUACGAAGGAAUGCCAAAAGCGAAGGCAGCUCUCUAGGUCCCUAUCGAUGCUGAGGUGCGAAAGCAUGGGGAGCAAACAGGAUUAGAUACCCUUGUAGUCCAUGCCAUAAACGAUGAGUGUUUGCCCUUGGUCUACGGGGAUCAAGGGCCCAGCUAACGCAUGAAACACUCCGCUUAGGGAGUAUGGUCGUAAGAUCGAAACUUAAAAGAAUUAACGGGGGCCUGUAUAAGCGGUGGAGAGUGUGGUUUAAUUCGAUACAACGCACAAAACCUUACUAGCCCUUGACAUAUGAACAAGAAAACCUGUCCUUAACGGGAUGGUACUAACUUUCAUACAGGUGUUGCAUGGCUAUUGUCAGCUCUUGUCGUGAGAUGUUUGGUCAAGUCCUAUAACGAGAAAAACCCUCGUUUUGUGUUGCUGAGACAUACGCCUAAGGAGAAAGUCUUUGCAACUGAAGUGAGCUGAGGAGUCGAGUGAUGUGCCAGCGCUACUAAUUGAGUGCCAGCACGUAGAUGUGCUGUCAUUAAGAAGGUAGUCGACGCCUUUUGAAGCACUUUCUAUUUCUAGUUAGCACUCCUUUUUGAUUAUAGGUAGCGCGCUUGACUAAUGAUGAUAGAAAGGGUAUUUGUCACUUAUUUAGUAAAGUCGAUGUUAUUGGACUUAUCUUGCAGGUAAAGACGACAUUGAGUUGAUGGCAGAGAAAGACUUGACAUUUAGGCGAGCCACCCGGUGGUGUGGUACGUAGUAGGUUUAGUACACCCCUCCCAAACAAACGACUCCAAACCAAACAAAAAGGUGCGUGCCACACUCAUAAAAGAAUGCUAGUGAUAUACUGGAGUAAAGUGGGGAUGACGUCAAGUCCGUAUGGCCCUUAUGGGCUGGGCCACACACGUUCUACAAUGGCAAUUACAAUGGGAAGCAAGGCUAUAAAGUGGAGCAAAUUCGAAAAGUUUGCCUCAGUUUGGAUUGUUCUCUGUAACUCGAGAAAAUAAAGUUGGAAUCACUAGUAAUCGUAGAUCAGUAUGCCACGGUGAAUAUGUACCCGGGCCCUGUACACACCACCCGUCACACCCUGGGAAGUAGUUUCACCUGAAGCAUCGGACCAAUGAUCACCCAUGACUUCUGUGGCACACUAGUGCCACAAAGGCCUUUGGUGGUCUUAUUGGCACAUACCACGGUGGGGUCUUAGACUGGGGUGAAUUCGUAACAUGGUAGCCGUAGGGGAACCUGUGGAUG
rnacentral:ncRNA from 1 species